rnacentral:rRNA from 1 species
GACGAACGCUGGCGGCGUGCUUAACACAUGCAAGUCGAACGGAAAGGCCCUGCUUUUGUGGGGUGCUCGAGUGGCGAACGGGUGAGUAACACGUGAGUAACCUGCCCUUGACUUUGGGAUAACUUCAGGAAACUGGGGCUAUACCGGAAAGGAGCUCCUGCUGCAUGGUGGGGGUUUGAAAGGUUCGGCGGUUGGGGGUUGACUCGCGGCUUAUCCGCUUGGUGGUGGGGUAGGGGCUUACCAAGGCUUUGACGGGUAGCCGGCCUGAGAGGGUGACCGGCCACAUUGGGACUGAGAUACGGCCCAGACUCCUACGGGAGGCAGCAGUGGGGAAUAUUGCACAAUGGGCGGAAGCCUGAUGCAGCAACGCCGCGUGCGGGAUGACGGCCUUCGGGUUGUAAACCGCUUUCGCCUGUGACGAAGCGUGAGUGACGGUAAUGGGUAAAGAAGCACCGGCUAACUACGUG